rnacentral:rRNA from 1 species
UGACCUCGAAUCAGGUAGGAAUACCCGCUGAACUUAAGCAUAUCAAUAAGCGGAGGAAAAGAAACCAACAGGGAUUGCCCCAGUAACGGCGAGUGAAGCGGCAACAGCUCAAAUUUGAAAUCUGGCUCUCGGGCCCGAGUUGUAAUUUGUAGAGGAUGCUUUUGGUGAGGUGCCUUCCGAGUUCCCUGGAACGGGACGCCAUAGAGGGUGAGAGCCCCGUCUGGUUGGACGCCGAACCUCUGUAAAGCUCCUUCGACGAGUCGAGUAGUUUGGGAAUGCUGCUCUAAAUGGGAGGUAUAUGUCUUCUAAAGCUAAAUACCGGCCAGAGACCGAUAGCGCACAAGUAGAGUGAUCGAAAGAUGAAAAGAACUUUGAAAAGAGAGUUAAACAGUACGUGAAAUUGUUGAAAGGGAAGCGCUUGUGACCAGACUUGGGCUUGGUUGAUCAUCCGGGGUUCUCCCCGGUGCACUCUUCCGGCCCAGGCCAGCAUCAGUUCGCCCUGGGGGACAAAGGCUUCGGGAACGUGGCUCUCUCCGGGGAGUGUUAUA